rfam:Oryza punctata chromosome 6, whole genome shotgun sequence.
UUUAAGCGUAGAUAUGAGUUUCUGUGUCCAACUUUGAUUAUUCAUUUUAUUUAAAAAAAUUUUAUGAUUAGUAUUUUUGUUGUUAUUAGAUGAUAAAAUAUGAAUAAUACUUUAUGCGUGUCUUAUCUUUUUUAAAUUUUUUUAAAUAAGACGAAUGAUUAAAGUUAGACAUGGAAACUCAUGGCUACGCUUAAA